rnacentral:rRNA from 1 species
AAAGAAUUUAAAGAGUGCACUUCAUUGUGGCUCGACAUUUUCUACCAUUCACCCUAGUGCACUGUAAUACCUUUUUUAUUAGACUCUACAAAGUUAUUGAAUGUAACACUUUUUUUAUAAAGAAAUAAAACUUUUAACAACGGAUCUCUUGGCUCUCGCAACGAUGAAGAACGCAGCGAAAUGCGAUAAGUAAUGUGAAUUGCAGAAUUCAGUGAAUCAUCAAAUCUUUGAACGCACCUUGCGCCCUUUGGUAUUCCGAAGGGCACACCUGUUUGAGUGUCAUUAAUCUCUCAACCCUAACAUUUUUUUAUUAGAAUGGUAGUGGCUGGAUGUUGAGCGUUGCUGGACCUUUUUUGGUUCAGCUCGCUUUAAAAUUAUGAGCAGGCUCCUACCAUUUCGGACUGACUCAACGUGAUAAGAAAUUUCGUUGAGGACGCUUUACAGCGGCCGAAUUGUAGGGAAAUGCCGCUGCUAGUUGACCCUUAUAUUUUAGACCUCAAAUCAGGUGGGACUACCCGCUGAACUUAA